rnacentral:rRNA from 1 species
GACGUAGGGUCCAAGCGUUGUCCGGAUUUACUGGGCGUAAAGAGCGCGUAGGCGGCUCGGUAAGUGUGAAGUGAAAUCUCUAGGGCUCAACCCAGAAACUGCUUUACAUACUGCCAAGCUGGAGUGAUGAAGAGGUUUGUGGAAUUCCUGGUGUAGCGGUGAAAUGCGUUGAUAUCAGGAGGAACACCCAUGGCGAAAGCAGCUCUCUGGGACGGUACUGACGCUGAGACGCGAAAGCGUGGGGAGCGAACAGG